GAUGAACGCUAGCGGCAGGCCUAACACAUGCGAGUCGAGGGGUAACUAGAGUGAUAGCAAUAUUACUUUGGCUAGACCGGCGCACGGGUGCGUAACACGUAUGCAACCUACCUUAUACUGGGGAAUAACUUCGAGAAAUCGGCGCUAAUACCCCAUAACAUUGCGAAGAGGCAUCUCUUUGCAAUUAAAGCUCCGGCGGUAUAAGAUGGGCAUGCGUCCAAUUAGCUAGUUGGUGAGGUAACGGCUCACCAAGGCUACGAUUGGUAGGGGUUCUGAGAGGAUGAUCCCCCACACUGGUACUGAGACACGGACCAGACUCCUACGGGAGGCAGCAGUGAGGAAUAUUGCGCAAUGGACGAAAGUCUGACGCAGCCAUGCCGCGUGCAGGAUGACGGCCCUAUGGGUUGUAAACUGCUUUUGUACGGGAAUAAACCCUUCUACGUGUAGGAGGCUGAAGGUACCGUAAGAAUAAGCACCGGCUAACUCCGUGCCAGCAGCCGCGGUAAUAC
rnacentral:rRNA from 1 species